rnacentral:rRNA from 1 species
CCUACGGGUGGCAGCAGUGAGGAAUAUUGGUCAAUGGACGGUAGCCUGAACCAGCCAUGCCGCGUGCAGGAUGACUGCUCUAUGAGUUGUAAACUGCUUUUGUACGGGAAUAAUAGUUCGUAUGUAUAGUGAUUUGCAUGUAUCGUAUGAAUAAGGAUCGGCUAACUCCGUGCCAGCAGCCGCGGUAAUACGGAGGAUUCGAGCGUUAUCCGGAUUUAUUGGGUUUAAAGGGUGCGUAGGCGGUCGGUUAAGUUAGAGGUGAAAUGUCGGGGCUUAAACUUGAGCCUGCCGUUGAUACUGUUCUACUAGAGAGCGGAUGAGGCAGGCGGAAUGAGUAGUGUAGCGGUGAAAUGCGUAGAUAUUACGCAGAACACCGAUUGCGCAGGCAGCUUGCUAAACCGUAUCUGACGCUGAUGCACGAAAGCGUGGGUAGCGAACAGGAUUAGAUACCCGUGUAGUC